AGAGUUUGAUCCUGGCUCAGGACGAACGCUGGCGGCGUGCUUAACACAUGCAAGUGGAGCGACGAACCAGGGCUUGCCCUGGGGCAGAGCCGCGAACGGGUGAGUAACACGUGGGUAACGUGCCUCGAUGACUGGGACAACCCGGGGAAACCCGGGCUAAUACCGGAUGUGCUCCCUGACCUUGGUCAGACGAGUAAAGGAAGCUUCGGCCUCCGCAUUGGGAUCGGCCCGCGGCCCAUUAGCUUGUUGGUGAGGUAACGGCUCACCAAGGCUGCGAUGGGUAGCUGGUCUGAGAGGACGAUCAGCCACACUGGGACUGAGACACGGCCCAGACUCCUACGGGAGGCAGCAGUGGGGAAUCUUGCGCAAUGCGCGAAAGCGUGACGCAGCAACGCCGCGUGGGGGAAGAAGGCCUUCGGGUUGUAAACCCCUUUCAGUUGGGACGAAGGUCGGGCGGUUAAUAGCCGUUCCGGCUGACGGUACCUUCACAAGAAGCCCCGGCUAACUACGUGCCAGCAGCGGCGGUAAUAC
rnacentral:rRNA from 1 species